rnacentral:rRNA from 1 species
UACGUAGGGGGCAAGCGUUGUCCGGAUUUAUUGGGCGUAAGGAGCGUGUAGGCGGCUGGGUAGGUCCGUUGUGAAAACUCGAGGCUCAACCUCGAGACGCCGAUGGAAACCCCCCAGCUAGAGUCCGGAAGAGGAGAGUGGAAUUCCUGGUGUAGCGGUGAAAUGCGCAGAUAUCAGGAAGAACACCCGUGGCUAAGGCGGCUCUCUAGUACGGUACUGACGCUGAGACGCGAAAGCGUGGGGAGCGAACAGG